GACGAACGCUGGCGGCAUGCCUAAUACAUGCAAGUCGAGCGAACAGAUGAAGUGCUUGCACUUCUGACGUUAGCGGCGAACGGGUGAGUAACACGUAAGGAAUCUACCUAUAAGCGGGGGAUAACAUUCGGAAACGGGUGCUAAUACCGCAUAAUAUCUUCUUCCGCAUGGAAGAAGAUUGAAAGACGGCUCUGCUGUCACUUAUAGAUGACCUUGCGGUGCAUUAGUUAGUUGGUGGGGUAACGGCCUACCAAGACGAUGAUGCAUAGCCGACAUGGGAGGGUGAUCGGCCACAUUGGGACUGAGACACGGCCCAAACUCCUACGGGAGGCAGCAGUAGGGAAUCUUCCGCAAUGGGCGAAAGCCGGACGGAGCAAUGCCGCGUGAGUGAAGAAGGCCUUCGGGUCGUAAAACUCUGUUAUAAGAGAAGAACAAAUUGUAGAGUAACUGCUACAGUCUUGACGGUAUCUUAUCAGAAAGCCACGGCUAACUACGUGCCAGCCGCCGCAGUAA
rnacentral:rRNA from 1 species